AUUUGAGUGGUUUUAGAGUCCGCCGUAAAUAAUUGACAUUUGAUAAAAAAAUUGUUUUCAUUUUUCAAACUCGUUCCUUGUUUAGGAUUACACGUUUGAACACGUCAUUGGGCUUGACCAUCCAAUCAGCGUUGUCCAAAUUUUCUCACGGUUCCGUUCAAAAUUCAAAAUAUACAGAGGAAGUGAAAUUAUGCUGCAUUCAGAACAACUGGGAAAUCGAAAAAACACGAGGUUAAAUCAUGGCGUCAGUGAUCUUUAGGUCGUAAAGUCUGAGCUCUAGGGAGAGACCUGAGUUCCCGAAAUUCAUGACCAUUCAAAUCGAUUUUUCCCAGUCGGAACGAUUUUUUUCUCCGAGUUCCCAGGUGUAUUGAACGUACUGAGGUAGGAAGUCUGAGAUUUCCGAGUUUCCAGUUGUUUUGAACGCGACAUGAGCAACCAGCAGGAAAAAGGACAAGACUUAGUGUUAUUGAACUAUGGCAAAACAAAAAUAGUUGUAAAUGAAAUAUAUAGCUAUUUACUAAACAGGGUAAGAUCUCUUUGAUAUAACGUUAGCCUAAUACAAUUUGUAAACCUAGCUUUGUAGUAACGUUAACUAGCUACUAUGGCUAAUAAUGCUAACGUUAGCUAGCUGUUUUAUGUUGUGUAGCUAACUUGCUACUGAAGCUAGCUAGUUAAGUGCUUUUGCAAAAAUGCUAUAAUAUCGGAGAGACCGCAAGGUUUACAAAUAUCCGCUGUCAAAAACCAAAUGCAAGUCUAAAAUCAAGUGGAGAAUGUCUUGCUUUUUUUUUUUACAGUGGACAAAUUGCCUGAUUGAGCUGAUGAGAAGGUAAUAAUCAUUUCAACGUCAUAGGCGAAGGUAUACAUUACAAAGAUCUAUAAAUAACUAACCCAAUAUAGUUAAUCAGUGUCGUUUACAAUGGGAACAAAUGAAGCAAGUAGGUGGGCAAAGUGAAGAACGUGCUAGCGAGAUCCUAUUGGCAUGUAGCAAGUAUUUGCAUAAAUGUCCUGUGACGUGUGUGCACAAACUCAAUUCGACAUUGCACUCCUAAACAAUGCAAUUUAAAACGUUGGCAAAGCUUCAAGUCUAUAAAACCUAUUGCACUGUGUUCGUAACAGAUGCUAUAUUUGGAAACAGAAAUGUAUUGAUCAGAUGUUUCAUCAAUGAGAAAAUUAUCAGAAUGUCUGCCCAGAUUCACCCAAAUUGUGUUCGAAUACUCAUACUAACUGUACUAUUUGUGACUAAAUUGAGUAUGUAGUAUUCUUAUUGGUCAUAGUAUGGAUAUAGUUAGUAAGCCAAAAGUUCCAGGAUGUCAAACUAAAUUUGCCAAAAUACUUUAACACCCAGCGUUGAAUAUGGUGUCAUUAAAUUGUUGCCAGCAGCAGUCUCCAACUUUUUGGAUAACAUGAAAACAGCCUAACCAGCUCUGCUAGGGCGAGCAAAAUGGUCGGAGUGAGGUGUCAUUUGUGUCUGGAAGUAAAAAAAAAAAAAAUGUCUGGAAGUAGCUAGCAAGCUAGCAAACGACGUUAGCCAGUUAGCUAGGGUGCUUGACUGCCGUUGUGAGUCGGAUUAACCCUACUCCUUGGCCAGAGCGUCAUGAACGCUCCGAGAGCAAAACGCUCUGAAUUUACGAACGGAUAAUCUGACAACGCUGAAUUUACGAAUGCCAGAGGGCACUCCAGUUACACUGGACACAUGAAACACUUUUUUUCUGAUAACUAGUUCAUUGCAUCUGCCGUGGAGCCCAGUUUCAUAAUAUGACCAUAUUUCCCAGCUGCUUGCCAUCGUUUUGAAGUAAUCGCAAAAAAACACCUUAAUUUAGGGCAUUUUUCACCCUGCCAACUCCUAUUAGUUCUAGUGAGCACCGUGGCACCAACUCGCCUUCCGAACGUUAUAUUCCCAGUUUAUUGUUCUACGUCACAAUGCCUGCUUCGCUAUUGUUGGCAAUGAGACCUGCUCACAUUGUUUAUAGUUCAAAUGUGAACAACAACAAAAAAUUACUCAUGGAACUCUGAGGUCGUUCCAUUGUUUCCUGUAGGGGAAAUAUAGGCAUGUCUGUCUAUUUCGCCAAAUAUCUCGCAAUGUGUAUAUUUCGAUUUUUUUCAAGUCAGACGUCAUUUUAAUCACGAGACUCUCCUCUUUCUAAUUAUGUAAGUCUGGGCAGCGAGCUUGGAUGUCAUCAAAUGCUAGCCCCAAAAUACUUUUUGCCCUUGGAACACUGAGCUCCCCCCAUUGUUUUCCUAUGGAUAUUUCGCCAAAUGUCUCACAAUGUGUAUAUUUAGAUUUUUUUUCAAGUCGGGCACCAUUUUAUUCUGGAGAAUUUCCUCUGUUAUGUUAGACUGGGCAGCGAGCUCAUUUGUCAUCGAUCACUAGACCAGAAAUAGUCAGUGUUCAUUUUUCCCUACUUUCUCAUUACACAGAUAUACGCACAGUUGACACCAUCGAGGUGCGGAUGUUUACUUCUACACAAGUCGUUUUUUCCCAGUUUCGUCCGGCUAACAGAUUGUAAUUGUAAAAUAAAAAGGGAUACAUUUUUUGGUGCCAUUUAGGCAAAAUGGAAUUCUAAGCAUCACUCUAGUCAAAACAGGCUCUGCGAAAAUUUGAUUCCAUUAAUUUGCUAUGGCCUCAUGCUAGUGUUCCAGCUUAGCCAACGUCCUUUUGCUGUUUUUUAGCCUUGCGUGAAUUUUGACUCAUUCUAUUGUCCAGCCUACUCCAGAUUGAAUUUACGAACACACCCGAAGUCAGAAAAUGUAUAGCAAGACUGAAGUUGCAUAGCAACAGCAUCAACUUCCGGCAGACAGGCGAAGCGCUAGUACACUCAACUGAAAGGAUAAUGUUUGUUUACAGUAUACUAAAAUGAAUUUAUAGUAUGUAGUGUAUAUACUCAUUAAGUAUGUAGUAUACAGUGUUACUAUGGGUAUUCGAACACAGCUCUAGUUCCAUCCUCUCACACUACCCCCAACUGGACUUCCUCUCACUACCAUAUUUGGGUGUGAGAAAACGUUCCAAGGGAUGCUUCAGCUUUAUAGCCCAUGUGACUUGUCUGGGUUACCUUUUCUGUCUGUGUCAUAGCCUUAACUGGUGGUAACUUGUGGAAUAGACACUGACUGGAAUGCAGUUUUAACCAAUCAGCAUCCAGAAUUAAACCCACCCAUUGUAUAAUGCGUGACACCUUGCUUGCUACUUGCUUUGUAAAGCAUUACAAGUUGUCCAAGAUGUCAUUGAGUGGCUUUACAUUGUUUGUGUUUGUCUGAACAUCAGACUGUUAGCAUAGUUACCAGCUGGCAUGUCUUCACUGACAUUUUCUACCUCUUCCUGACCCAGUGUGUAAUACCCGCAUGUUUCAAGCAGACAGCCGUAGUCCCUGUGCCCAAGAACACCAAAGUAACCUGUCUAAAUGACUGUCGCCCAUAGCACUCACAUCUGUAGCCAUGAAAUGCUUUGAAAGGAUGGUCAUGGCACACAUCAACACCAUAUAUCCUGGGCCCACUCCAAUUCGCAUUCCGCCCCAACAAAUCAAAAUCAAACUUUAUUUGUCACGUGCCGAAUACAGCAAGUGUAGACCUUAUAGGGAAAUGCUUACUUACAAGCCCUUAACCAACAGUGCAGUUCAAGAAGAGUUAAGAAAAUAUUUACAAAAUAAACUAAAGUAAAAAAUUAUAAAAAGUAACACUAACAUAACAAUAACGAGGCUAUAUACAGGGGGUACCGGUACCGAGUCAGUGUGCGGGGGUACAGGUUAGAGGUCAUUUGUACAUGUAGGUAGGGGUGAAGUGACUAUGCGUAGAUAAUAAACAGUGAGUAGCAGCAGUGUACAAAACAAAUGGAAGGGGGGGUCAAUGUAAUAGUCUGGUGGCCAUUUGAUUAAUUGUUCAGCAGUCUUAUAAGCCAUAAGAAGCUGUUGUGUUGUGAGCAAACUUAAUGAUGGUGUUGGAGUCGUGUUUGGCCGCGCAGUCGUGUGUGAACAGGGAGUACAGGAGGGGACUAAGUACACACCCCUGAGGGGCCCCUGUGUUGAGGAUCAGCGUGGCAGACGUGUUGUUGCCUACCCUUACCAGGAUCCAGUUGCAGAGGGAGGUGUUUAGUCCCAGGGUACUUAGCUUAGGAUGAGCUUCGUGGGCACUAUGGUGUUGAACGCUGAGCUAUAGUCAAUAAACAUCAUUCUCACAUAGGUGUUCCUUUUGUGUGGAGUGCGAUUGAGAUUGCGUCAUCUGUGGAUCUGUUGAGGCAGUAUGCGAAUUGGAGUGGGUCUAGGGUAUCUGGGAGGAUGCUGUUGAUGUGAGCCAUUGCCAGCCUUUCAAAGCACUUCAUGGCUUCCGACGUGAGUGCUAUGGGGCGGUAAUCAUUUAGGCAGGUUAACUUCACUGCCUUGGGCACAAGGAUUAUGGUGGUCUGCUUGAAACAUGUAGGUAUUACAGACUCAAUCAGGGAGAGGUUGAAAAUGUCAGUGAAUACACUUGCCAGCUGGUCUGCGCAUGGUUUGAAUACACGUCCUGGUAAUCCAUCUGGCCCCGUGGCUUCGUGAAUGUUGACCUGUUCAAAGGUCUUGCUCACAUCGGCUACCGAGAGUGUUAUCACACAGUCAUCUGGAACAGCUGGUGCUCUCGUGCAUGCUUCAGUGUUGCUUGCCUCAAAGCGAGCAUAAAAGGCAUUUAGCUCGUCUGGUAGGCUUGCAUCACUGGGCAGCUCACGUCUGGGUUUCCCUUUGUAGACCGUAAUAGAUUUCAAGCCCUGCCACAUCCGACAAGCGUCAGAGCCGGUGUAGUAGGAUUCAAUCUUAAUCCUGUAUUGACGCUUUGCUUGUUUGAUGGUUCGUCUGAGGGAGUAGCGUAAUUCCAUAUAGGCGCCCAGAUUAGUGUCCCCCUCAGGCGAGCAAUACCUCGAGCCUUCUUAAAUAUUAGACAUCGCGCACCAGCUGUUAUUGACAAAAAGACACACACUCCCACCCCUCGUCUUACCAGACAUAGCUUAUCUGUUAUGCCGGUCCAUUGAGAAUCCCUCCAGCUCUAUGUUAUCCGUGUCGUCGUUCAGCCACGACUCGGUGAAACAUAAGAUAUUACAGUUCUUAAUGUCAUUUUCGUAGGAUAAUUGUAGGUCAUCAAUUUUAUUUUCCAAUGAUUGCAUGUUAGCAAGUAGAAUUGAUGGCAGUGGGAGUUUACCCGCUCGCCUACUGAUUCUGAAAAGGAAGCCCGAUCUGCGUCCUCUUCACGUAAAUGAUGGGGAUCUGGGCCUGUUCCCGGGAGAGCAGUAUAUCCUUCUCGUCGCACUCGUUAAAGGAAAAAGCUUCUUCCAGUUCGUGUUGUGUUCUUAAGGUUUUAGUUAUUUGUUCUGGCACCUUCCUCCAGGACACUGUAAGAUCAACCCAGCAGUGAAUUCGGUGUUGUCUGCACAAAAUCCCUGCAGGGAUGAGACUCCUCUGAAGUGACUGCAGCAACAGCAACAUCAGCAGCAGGAAGAGGGGAAAGCUCAGAAGCAGAGCAUGUAUUGCAAGGACCUGUUGCUCAGUGUCGCCUCCGAGUUCUGCUUUUAGGAACUGAGGGCAGAAAGCUACCACCAGAAGAAGGCCUUGGAGUCGGGGCAGUGUCAAGGAAGAGCAAGGUGGCUCUGGUCUUCCAAACUGACACCUUUCCACCUGGACAUUGACAUGACAUUUCCAUGUUCAGAUUGUUUUGUAUAUAGAAGGUAGCAGACUGUCAGUAUCAUCAGUUAUGUCUUUGUUGUCUUUCGUCAUGUAUGUAUUUUACUGUUUGUGAUGUGUAUAUAUAAACUGCAGUUGGUACGACAUAGGUCUCACCAGUCAUAGCCAUAGAUCACUAUCUAGGCUCUGGGCCACACAGUAUCCCAGAGGGAAAAAUCAUCUAAUGUAAUUGGAUUGAAAAGAGUUGUGUGAGAAAAUGGUGCUAUGAUUUGAGAACUGAAAUACUGGUGGUUGUUGUUACUGCAUAUCCUUGGAUAUUCUGCAAUAAUUGGCAGUUGAGACUGUUCUGUAUUUUUUUUUUUUUUCAUGGCAAUUCACUACAAAACUGUAUUCUACAUUUUACAUUCAUUCCACUAAUCCAUUAUGUUUGGAAAAGGGCUUUAGAUAACAUGCCAUGUUCCGUCUGGUUCCUCUCUCCAUUAUUUCUUUGUCUUCUUCACGUUACCUCUUAGGAAUUAAACUUUCAGUACACCACGUGGUGAAGGCAGGGUGUACUUGUCCAUGACAAGGCUCAAUUCACAUUAUAGCUGUCACUGCUGUAUAUAUUGGUAAAAAUGUCCCCCCAAGGCCAUGUGGUGAUAGUGUUAAAUAAAUGUGAAAUAAUG